AGGAUUAACGCUAGCGACGUGCCUAAGGUAUGCAAGUCGAACGAUGAAAUUUGAGUAGCAAUACAAGAAUUUCGUAGUGGCAGACGGCUGAGUAACACGUGGGAAUUUCCCCCAAACUCGAGCAUAGCUCACCGAAAGGUGGGGUAAUUCUCGAUAGUCUCGCAAGAGUAAAGCUUCGGCGGUUUGGGAUGAGCCCGCGUCCUAUCAGGUUGUUGGUGAGGUAAUGGCUUACCAAGCCUAUAACGGGUAGCUGGUCUGAGAGGAUGGCCAGCCAGACUGGGACUGAGAUACGGCCCAGACUCCUACGGGAGGCAGCAACUAGGAAUUAUGCACAAUGGACGUAAGUCUGAUGCUGCGACGUCGCGUGGAGGAUGAAGGUCUUCGGAUCGUAAACUCCUUUUAUUGGGGAACAAAUUUUGAGGGUACCCAAUGAAUAAGUGCCUGCUAACCACGUGCCAGAAGCAUCGGUAAUACGUGGGACACAAGCGUUAUCCGGAUUUACUGGGCGUAAAGAGAUGCGUAGGUGUCUUGAUAAGUUCUGUGUUAAAUCCCAAUGCUCAACAUUGGAAUCGCAUGGAAAACUAUCAAGAUUGAGCCAAAUAGAGGAAAGGGGAAUUCCUGGUGGAGCGGUUAAAUGCGUUGAUAUCAGGAGGAAUACCAAUGGCGAAGGCACCUUUCUGGAUUUGUGCUGACACUAAGGCUCGAAAGCGUGGGGAGCAAAACGGAUUAGAUACCCGUGUAGUCCACGCUGUAAACAAUCCUCGUUAGAUUUCUGUCUUAGCUCUUUAGAUUUUUCCUUCGGGAAAGGUUUUGGGGCCUGAUGGGAGUCGCAGCUAACGCGUUAAACGAGGCGCCUGGGAAGUACGGCCGCAAGGCUAAAACCCAAAGGAAUUGACGGGGACCCGCACAAGCAGUGGAGCGCCUGGUUUAAUUCGAUGAUCAGCGAAGAACCUCACCUGGGCUUGAACUGUAGCUGCACGCCUCCAGAAAAGGAGGAAGCCUUCGAGGGUGCUAUAGAGGUGGUGCAUGGCUGUCGUCAGCUCGUGUCGUGAGAUGUAGGGUUAAGUCCCACAACGAGCGCAACCCCUACCCGAUGUUAUAAUUACUUCGGGGACUGCCCCGCUUUAACGGGGAGGAAGGAGGGGAUGAUGUCCAGUCAUCAUGUCCCUUAUGUCCAGGGCUACACAGACGCUACAAUGGCUACUACAAUGGGCUGCCAAACCGCGAGGUGGAGCUAAUCCCAUCAAAAGUAGUCUCAGUUCAGAUUGCAGGCUGCAACUCGCCUGCAUGAAGUCGGAAUUGCUAGUAAUCGCGUAUCAGCAUGGCGCGGUGAAUACGUUCUCGGGUCUUGUACACACCGCCCGUCAGGGCAUGGGAGUUGCUCUUGCUCGAAGUUCCUGUUUACCAGGGCCGACAGUAAGGGUGACGACUGGGCUUAAGUCGUAACAAGGUA
rnacentral:rRNA from 1 species